GAUGAACGCUGGCGGCGUGCCUAAUACAUGCAAGUCGAGCGAACAGACGAGGAGCUUGCUCCUCUGACGUUAGCGGCGGACGGGUGAGUAACACGUGGAUAACCUACCUAUAAGACUGGGAUAACUUCGGGAAACCGGAGCUAAUACCGGAUAAUAUAUUGAACCGCAUGGUUCAAUAGUGAAAGACGGUUUUGCUGUCACUUAUAGAUGGAUCCGCGCCGCAUUAGCUAGUUGGUAAGGUAACGGCUUACCAAGGCAACGAUGCGUAGCCGACCUGGGAGGGUGAUCGGCCACACUGGAACUGAGACACGGUCCAGACUCCUACGGGAGGCAGCAGUAGGGACUCUUCCGCAAUGGGCGAAAGCUUGACGGAGCAACGCCGCGUGAGUGAUGAAGGUCUUCGGAUCGUAAAACUCUGUUAUUAGGGAAGAACAAAUGUGUAAGUAACUAUGCACGUCUUGACGGUACCUAAUCAGAAAGCCACGGCUAACUACGUG
rnacentral:rRNA from 1 species